GAAAAAACCCACCCCAUCCCCGGGGGUGGGGGGUUUGGGGGAGAGGGGAGGCGCGGAGGGGCGUGGGGGGGGGGAGGGCGGAGGACCAGGGCCUGCGCCCCCCCCCCCCACGGAGCGCGCCCCCCCCCCCCGCUCGCCCUUCGCCGUCGCUCCCCGGCGGCUCUUUGCAGACGGUCCCUGCCCGGGCGGCGGCGCCGGGCGGAUGCGGAGCGGGCGUCCCGCCGAGGUGCCCGGAGGCAGCGGGGGGGCCGGGGGGGUCCCCGCCAUGGCCGAGCGCCGCCGCCGACCCGUGAAGAAGGAUGAGGAGGCCUUCGAGAUCUCCAUCCCCUUCGAGGAGCCCCCCCACGUCGAGCCCCCCAUCUUCUACAGCCUCAGCCCCCCCCAGAGCAGCUUCGAAGGUGGGGGGCGCCGGACGCCUGGGUCCCUUUCUGGGGGGGGUUGGGGGUGUCACAGGGUGCAGGGUCCCCCGGGGGUG